GGGCCACAUAAGACUUUGUCCAUCCAGGGUUACAUUGAACGACAACUUUAAACUAAAAAACCAACAUUUUUCACACAACUCCAGGUUGUUACUAACAAAUUACUACUACAAGUGUCAUCAAGGGAUAACUACAAGUAGAAGCACCAUUUUUGGAUGGAAAAAACCCUUCAGGAAAGUAUACGUAUCACAUGUAACAUGUAGUGUAACAAAGUAUGAACAGUAAGGUUUUUACAUACAGUAGUAUUACAUACGUACAUAACUUUUUUUUACAGGAAUUUCCAAGUUUGAUUAUGUACAUACAUGUUAUAAACCACUGUACGUAUGGUUACUGUAUGUAACUUACUAAACAUACAUAACAUGACUUAACUUUGAUACUUUUUUGGUACAUUCCAGAAAACCAGGACCCCCUCCAUGAUGCAGGCUAUGGGGCCACAUAAAACUUUGUCCAGGGUUACUACAUAACAUAAAGAACCCCCUGAAUGAUGUAGGCUAUGGGGCCACAUAAGACUUUGUGCAUCCAGGGUUACAUAGCACGACAACUUUAAACUAAAGGUAAGGAAUUAAUUAACAUACAUUAACUAAGUUUUAUACAUGUUAUAUAUGUGAUAUUAAACCACUGUAUGGUGCAUAUUACUGUAUGUAACUUACUAUGCAUAGAGUACUUACUGACAUACUAAUUAUUUUUUGUA